UGAAUAGGUUUUCCCAAACUCUGGUGGCCACAGGGGCCGCCGGAGCCCAGCAGUGAGGAGAGAGGGUGUUUAUUGUGUAUCCAAUGGCAGCCCCUUCCUUCAGCCAACUUAAGGAGCAGAGAGGUCUCUCCUCUCUCUCUUAGCAAUGGUUUUGACGUUUUAGUUCCUUUCAACCGCGAAGCAAACUGUAUCUGAAACCAGAUGAGCAGGAAGAAAGUGACGACAAGCAAGGCUUAAUUUUAAUGCAGAGCUCUUUUCUUCCCAAUGCAGAAGUCUUAUUAAAGAAACAGCAGGAUGCUGACAGGAAACUGUUUCAUGGCGUGCCAAGCAGUGCUAUGUCCGCACCGGGAUUGGAACUGGCGAACCCCAGGACGCUGAAGUGGAACAUGUGAACUUAACCACUGCACCACCGGGCCGGUCCUGAGAAAGGAUACAACUUUUAAAAUGAGGACUCAAAUGAGAAACCAAAAAACUAUUUGGGGACCAGGGUUGGAAGUGAAUUAACUGUCAACAGAGUUUUUUAAAUUGCCUUAGGGGUAAAUUAAGCCUCCUGCUUUUCUGUCAGAAAUGAGUACUUACUAAAAGGAGGCAGCAUAGUUCACAUCUUGGCAUUUUUAUCCAGAAAAUAGGAUAAAUAGUAUUAUACAUUGACACUCUAUGUUUGUUUGCUUGCUUUUUUUUAAAGGCACUUUAUAGUGUAACUAUGAAUACCUGCAAAAUCAACUGAGGGGUCAGGUCUAUGCAGACAGAGCAGACUGAGUCAUUUAGACCAGAGCAAAAAUACAUGUGAUGGAUAAAACACAGUAAUUAAGGGGGAAAGCAGAUUUGUUGACUAGAUAAUCAUCUCAGCUCCCAGGGGGAUUGCCCUCCCUCCGUUUCCCUUGGCACCUCUCUUCCCCCAGACCACCUUCAAAACUCUGCUUUGAACGGUGUCUCCUACAAGAAGCCCUCCCUGGUUAAGUGACCUGAGCCUUUUAUUCUGCUUCUCAUUGCCACAAGAAGUGUAUCUGUAUUUUGCAUUUGGUCCUUAGUAGCUUGUUUUAUAUCUUUAUUAAAGUGUUCUUAUGCCUCUGUGUCUUUAUUUCAUCUAUCGUCUCAUAGAGAGAUUCUUUAGGGACCCCACUGUGCUUUCCAUUUGCUGGGCAUUUCCCAGCUGACAGAGUAGAGUGCUCGCUGACAG
rnacentral:lncRNA from 1 species